GACGGGUGAGUAAUGCCUGGGAAAUUGCCCGGUAGAGGGGGAUAACCAUUGGAAACGAUGGCUAAUACCGCAUAACCUCGCAAGAGCAAAGCAGGUGACCUUCGGGCCUUGCGCUACCGGAUAUGCCCAGGUGGGAUUAGCUAGUUGGUGAGGUAAGGGCUCACCAAGGCGACGAUCCCUAGCUGGUCUGAGAGGAUGAUCAGCCACACUGGAACUGAGACACGGUCCAGACUCCUACGGAAGGCAGCAGUGGGGAAUAUUGCACAAUGGGCGCAAGCCUGAUGCAGCCAUGCCGCGUGUAUGAAGAAGGCCUUCGGGUUGUAAAGUACUUUCUCUCGGAAUUGCAAAGGGUGGGUUCAAGAA
rnacentral:rRNA from 1 species